rnacentral:rRNA from 1 species
UACGUAGGGGGCAAGCGUUAUCCGGAAUCAUUGGGCGUAAAGAGCGUGUAGGCGGCCAGAUAAGUCCGCUGUGAAAUCUCGAGGCUCAACUUCGAGCUGUCGGUGGAAACUGUCUGGCUAGAGUCCGGAAGAGGAGAAUGGAAUUCCUGGUGUAGCGGUGAAAUGUGUAGAGAUCGGGAGGAACACCGGUGGCGAAGGCGGGUCUCUGGGCAUCUCCUGACGCUGAGGCGCGAAAGCGUGGGGAGCAAACGGG